AGAGAGAGAGAGAGAGAGAGUUAUGUACAACAAAAAACUACCAAGAGCAAGUCACUAAGGAGGCCUGCAAGUCUUGCAACUUGUUGCAAUCCCAAGUAAUUUAAACCUUUAUUUGUGUAAGUUUAAUACAAUUUUACAGCUUUAAUCUAUGUCAAGGUUAGGGUUGGCAAUUUUUGACACUACCAGUUUAUACAACACAGCACAUAGCUUUGCCGGUUUAGGUUAGACAUAAAUAAUGGGUCAACCCAUUUGAGACCCAAGAAAAUUUAAGGUAUAAAUGGUUUAACUUGUGUAACCCAAAAUGACAUGAUAUAACCUGCUUAAUUGGUUUCAAGAUAGAUUGUUAUAUCUAUCCAAUUAAAAAUGAAAAAUAAAAUAAAAGAAAUUGUGACGUUAACACUUGGAAGUUCAUAAAUAUAAAUAUCAUACAAAAGCUACAUGGAAUUUGAUAUAAUGUAAUAUAACUAACUUAUUCAAAAGGGCAUGAGAAAAGAAAAUGAGAUGACAGCUAACCAGCGUUAUACUCUAUUUUGACAUGAUCAGUACAAUACAAAAUAAUUCACAUUCGCAAACAUGUAUUUGACUGGUUGAUAAUUAGAUCUGCAAACUCUCUGGUUAUAGACAAUUAACCUAUAUUACUACUAUUCGUGCUAAAAAUGUGACAUUAAUUGGUGCGUGAGACUAAUGGUAAAGAUAAACAGGCCAACGCCAUGAGGCUAUUUAGGAGUGGGAACCAAGUUUUGAAUCUCAGCAAUAACAAUCCCACUCCUCAAUUCUGGGAGGGAAAAAUAUUAGUAAGGUGUCAAACGUAGGAGAUAAUCCAACCAUAAUAUUGGAUCACUUUUGUUUGCUUAACUGUUUUUGGUUUAUGCACCUUAUCUGACACAAUUUAGUUAUUAAAUCAGGUAGUGAGGCAUCUCCAGAGAAGCACCCAAUCCCUAUCCUUGGUCACUAGUUCUAAAGCAACAUGCACACAGAACAUGUACCACAGUCAAAAUUUAACAUUGCCAAUGACAAAAUUAUCAUGAUAUGAUAAUAUUUCAACAUGGAUUAUGGAUUUAAAUAUCCCAAAUCAUAUAUAUAUAUUCACCAUAGCAAAAUCCUUCUAAUUUCAUGAUUGUCCCUUGUUUCUCCUAUCUCAGAACAUGAUCUAUCCUACAAGUUAUCUCAAGCAAAAAGAUUCCAUAUAUAUGAAAAUAUUUAAGAAUUUCAAAGGAAGAAAGGAAACUAACGGGAACUUGGAAACGAUUCCAUGAUCCACAACUCCAUUGACUUUAUCAAGGCUUUCAGCUACUUCAGCUACAAUCAGUAAACCAUAAAUGCAAGAGUCAUGGAAAAGGUAUCUUAAAGCACAAAUAAAGAGAUUAAAGGGGAAAAUAAGUCAUCUUAAAAAACAAGAACAUGGAGAUUAAAACAAGAAAAUGCCAUGAUCCUUAAACGUACCAAGACUUUGUAUUGGAGAAGUAAAGAUGACAUCAAUAACAUUGUGACCUUCUCUAGUGACAAGAGGGAAGUCACCCCCUAGUGGACCUGCCUGUCCUAUAGAUGAUCUCCUCCACACCUUAGAUUAUCAAACCAAAGGCAAAAGAAGGAGCCUUAGAAUUCAAAUGAGGAGACGAACCACAACCUCUGAAUAUUACCUGAACCUCUAUUAAAUUUCUAAGGAUUGUCCAAAAGGCCACUCUGCGUCACCCAAAAACAGAUCAUCAAUCUCUUCAGCAGUUUCCAUCCAGUUCAGCUGAAAUAAAAAAAUUUGUUAAUAAGGUAAUUUAUCUCUCAAUUUUUUUUAUUAGCAAGUAAUUGAUCUCUCAUUAUGGAAGUUAACGCUUUGCAUUUAAAAAUUCUGUUGCUUACAGAUUGAACAACAACUGGAAUGGAACCAUCUAGAGUGCCUUUGUACUGCUUUUCUGUGAUCAUGAAUACAUGUUUAUUGGCUGCAUUUAGAAUUGACUGAAAGAGAAGCAGUUAAAAAGGGAAACUUAUUGGUGACAGUAUCAUAUUGAGAAAACAGCCUUGAUGAGUCAAUGCAGAAUGCUUUCAUAAAAUGAAAACACUUGACAAUCAAAUAUAUACACACGAUUCUCAAAAAUGUCUAUGAAAUGGUUCAAGUCAUAAAAUUCCACAGAAACAGGAUAAACAGCAACACUCACCUUCUCUUGAAUGAUUGACUCCUCACCUUGCAAGUUUUGGCGACCAAUGACUGCAAUUAGUGUUUCCUCUUCUAUAAUAUCAGCAUCAUCAAAUGCAAAAUCAAUCUACAUAGCAGCAACUUAAAGUGAAAUAGUGGUAAGUUUCAAAAUAUGUAUAGUCAAAAUCACGCAAGAAUUGGGAAGUUCUAAUGACAUAUCUAGAACUAGUACAAAAAAUUCCAGAAGGAAUUUGCAUCUAUUCUCUCUUCUCAAGAGAUUUUGUCUCUUCAUACCAAUUUGUAACUAGUCAACAUAUCUAAUCCAAGCCAGUUCCAAAAUCUUCCCGUCCAAUCUAGCUUUUGCUUCAGCAUAUUUAUUUGCAACAUGCUCUUUCAAAUAAACAUGCUAGCAUGUAGAACUUGAAAUAUUGAAAACCGACAAAAUUUAACAGAUGAUUAGAAUUUAAGCACACUUGAGAACCAUCUUGGUAUUGCUCCAAUGGAAUGCCUGCCUUAGCUGCUUCACUUGCACUUGCUACUGACAUGGGUAUGCCUACUAUAUCUUUUAAAGCACCAGCAUGAAGUUGUUGACCCAAAUACUGUAUAGCCAUACCAGAAGCAUGUCCAGACCCUAAUCCAAUAACCAUGCCACUUUUUAUGUAUGUAUUAACAGUAUGCUUGGCUGCAUGAAGGAGAGCGCUUGCCCGAGUAAUGGGGAAAUAAAUUUCUGUGCUGCGUCUUCUUGGACAUGAAGUUGAAUUG
rnacentral:misc_RNA from 1 species